CACCGCGGUUAUACGAGUAACCCAAAUUAACACUUCACGGUGUAAAGAGUGAUUUAAGGAAAAACUACUACCAUUAAAGUUAAAACUUCAUUCAACUGUUAUACGUACACAUGAACAGAAUAAUCAACAACGAAAGUGACUUUAUACAAUCAGUAAUCUUGACGUCACGACAGUUAGGACU
rnacentral:rRNA from 1 species